GACGAACGCUGGCGGCGUGCUUAACACAUGCAAGUCGAACGGUGAAGCGCCUUCCUUUUUGGUGGGUGUGGAUGAGGGGCGGACGGGUGAGUAACACGUGAGUAACCUGCCCCCUUCUUCUGGAUAACCGCAUGAAAGUUUGGCUAAUACGGGAUAUUCUGCGUCUGUCGCAUGAUGGGUCUGGGAAAGUUAUUGUUUCGGUGGGGGAUGAGCUCGCGGCCUAUCAGCUUGUUGGUGGGGUGAUGGCCUACCAAGGCUGGGACGGGUAGCCGGCCUGGGCGGGUUGACGGGCAGAGUGGGAAGGAGACACGGCCAAGCCUGCUAUGGGAGACAGCCGGGGGGACUACUGGACGAUGGGCGCAAGACUGAUGCAGCGACGCCGCGUGAGUGAUGGAGGCCUUCGGGUUGUGAACCUCUUUCGUCAGUGAAGCAGGCCUGCCUUGUCUGUGGGUGGGUUGACGGUAGCUGGAGAAGAAGCUCCGGCUAACUACGUG
rnacentral:rRNA from 1 species